CCAACAUCCAAAGAAGAGCUUUGAAUGUCCUUUGAGAAACCUGAAGAAUUAUUCCUGAAGACUAUUUAAUGAAAGGUUAAAGUUUGUCUAAGAGGGUUUAGGGUGUGUUGGAGAAUAAAGGUGGUCAAACAGUCGCAAACAUUGACCUUCAAGCUCAUUAGAGUUGUACAAACUCUGUUUUUGCCUUCUAUAUUGUACUUCCAGGUAUGUUCGCACAUGCUUCAAUAAAUCUGUGCACUUACUUUCCAAAUUUUCUAGCAAAAUAUAAAAAAAUGAAGUGUAACUCAAAACUUUUGCACAGUACUCUAACACACUGCUACUUUGUAGUGAAUCCUCUGGGGACAAUAAGUGCUUCCACGGUUUUAUGCCACUGCACACUUGUUGCAUUUGAGAUAUUUCACUGUGCACAAAUUGGGUGACUAAACAAAAGAGCUACAUUGCCAUAUUCUGGUAGUGUGGCGUAAAGAAUCAAUUCAAGUUAUGCAAGCUCUCAGUGACACCCAAGAUGGCGUGUUAUUGGCUCCCCAGCUGUCAAAACCCGGACAUAUUCAACGUAUGAUUAAAAUAAAAGAGGAAUUUUUGCAUAUUUGAUAAUCAUUUCACAGUGACUAAAGCAAUAAAUCACUCUUCAAUCUUAGAUCCUCUGGGUAUUCAUCUUUUUAUUAAUCUCCCACAUGCUGUUAUCAGGUCAUUUACCGCUGUGGGCUCUUUGAAUUUUCAGUCUGUCAUCAUCACCAUUAUGGCUAUAUAGUACAGAGUUUUUAUAUAGAUAUUUAAGCAUGAGCUAUGUUAAGAAAAUGAUCAGCGUCGUUACAUUUGCCAGACAAGCCAUUCUGCGCUGCUUUCCGACAGAUUGGAUAAGGAAAACAACACACUAAAUCUUUCAUUUUAAACAUAAGAUGUUGCUUUAUUCAAAAUCAAAACAUGGACGUCGUCGCUGAAUCUUUUAUGAAAGCCUUGGCAAUUACAAUCGGAAGACUGAGAAUUAUGCAGCAUGUGAUGCUGACUUCUGCUCCCUAUUUCUGCUCCACAUGGAGAACGGCAGGAAGGUGGCGAAGGACGGAGAGAGGAAGAGAAAGAGGGAGAGAGCGAGAGAGAGCCUUUCUUUGUCUUGAUGUGAAACCACGUGAAGCUCUGACAGAAAUGUGACAGAUACCUGCAAAGUCAAAAACCAACAGGCUCGCACUCAUUCUAAUUUGUCAGAAAAGAUCUCCCCAGAGUUUCUCCCGACAAAUAGACCAGUUUGAUGCACACAUGAAUACACAUCACAUGUGACCAACUGCUUCUUUAUUGUCUACAAGCAGGAGAAAUCCUUUUUACCUGUUUCUUCUUUAUUUGUGUCCUUGUGUGUAUUUUAUGAGUUCCAUCAACAGGAAAGUGUCCCACUGAAGAAAAUCUAUCAAUGUUUAAUCUCCUGUGUUCUGAAAACGCACACUUGACAAACAAGAAACAGGCAAAGUGAGAAGGCAGUGACUCGUAACAACGUAACACAUCGAGUACUUCUACCUUUUGGUUAGCUGAACAAAGAUUGUGAACAUACAUGCAAAAAGCCAGGGUAAAAAAACAGGUGAAUGCAGGCUACGCAGGCAACGAGGAAAUUUGUUUCUUCUCUUCUUUCCUUCAUUUGGAUUGCCGGAACUGCGGUGUUGAUCUGGUUCCUGGGUCGUUGUGCUGGCAUCAUAAAAGCCCAUAAAGUCAUCAGUCAGGAAAAUGUUUAUUUUGGACAACAAGACUUCUAUAGGGCUUCUAUGGCCAUUACAAAGGAUAGCGGUUUAAAAUGCUUAAAAAAAAAAAGUGGCUUCACUUUUCAGACCUAAAAUUAAAACUACAGUCUUUGUUGUC